UAUAGACUGACCUAGCAGACAAGCCAAGACGAUAGAACUUAUUUUCGAGGAGAAAAUUAUG
rnacentral:ncRNA from 1 species